rnacentral:rRNA from 1 species
AUACGGAGGGUGCGAGCGUUAAUCGGAAUUACUGGGCGUAAAGCGCGCGUAGGCGGUUUGUUAAGUCGGAUGUGAAAUCCCCGGGCUCAACCUGGGACCUGCAUCCGAUACUGGCAGGCUAGAGUCUGGUAGAGGGGGGUAGAAUUCCUGGUGUAGCGGUGAAAUGCGUAGAUAUCAGGAGGAAUACCAGUGGCGAAGGCGGCCCCCUGGACUGAGACUGACGCUGAGGUGCGAAAGCGUGGGGAGCAAACAGGAUUAGAAACCCUUGUAGUCC